rnacentral:lncRNA from 1 species
AUAAUUACACAUAGAAUCUCAAUGUCCAUGUCAUAUAUAAGGCGAAGCCUAGGCCUUUGAGUCACUUCACUUGUAUUGCGUGGUCUGACCGACUUCCAAACCCAUUGAAACACCAUCAAUUUAAUGUGAUUCACAGCCCUUAUUCAUUCCAAUCAUCUCUUUCACUUGCCUUCUCUCUAUAACUUCAAAUACCUUCUUAUUUCUUUUCCUGUCCUCUAGUGACAGGAACCAGAAUUUCGAAACAGUCCUUAAACUGCGGAGUUAAAGAAACAAAGCAUGGUGAUGAUGGGAUUUGGAAGACUAAUGGGGAGUCUCAAGUCAAAAUUAAGGUGUCUAAAAACAAAGAAGCCUGCUGCUGGAGGAGGACUAUAUGACAGGAUUGAAAAGAGUGAGAGCAUGAGAGUUGAAAUAAGAAGCAGGAAAGCUCAGAAGCUCAUUCAAGAGACUCUCAAGGUUGCUGAUUCUCCCAAGAUUAACAAAACUUAUGCUUUUUAAUCAUCUCUUAUCCUCUUAAACAUAGUGGAUUAUGUGAUAAGUAGAUAAUACUUAAUAGUCCUUGCUCUGCUAAUAAUGGUGUGUGGUUAUAGAGGUGGUAGAAAUAAAGCUACAAGUAUGUAGCUUGGUUUUCACUAGCUAGCAAGCUUGGUAGUAAUUGGUUAAUGUUCUUGUCUUGAUGUUUAUUAUUACCGGACUUGUACCUCUGUUUUGUCAGAAUUCCACUUGCAACAAAUUUAUACUACAAAAUUUCAGGUGUAUUGUAGACUUGUUAUGUAUUAUUGUCUGUUAAACAUAUAUGUGAGAACUCCAGAAUUCAUAAAUCAAAAUCUCGAUACUUAGAAUGUGUACUCUGCUAAAGGAGCUUAUCAUCACACUCCCUCCAAUCACAACUUCAAACUUCAUAUUUUUUCACUUUUAACUUUAUAAAUGGAGUAAUCAAUCUCCAAUUAUCCAUUACUUUAUCUUUAUAUAUAAAGUCAUUUACUAUCCUACUUUAUAUAUGAAGUUGAACUACGAAGAUAAAGCAAAAAUUGCUUUAUUUAUAAAAUUAAGUAAUGGUUGGAGAUGAAAUCAAGAUAUAAAGCGAAAAAGGUGAAAAUAAAUAUGAAGUUGCUUUGUUUAUAAAAUUGUGGUUGGAGAUGGUCUUAUUAAGUAUUAACCACGUCCAAUUUUACACUCUCUAGUCUCCGCAAUUAAUUUUACCCACGCACAAAAGAUAAUUACGGUUGCAACUCAUCUUGUCAUUUUCCAAAGGAAAAAACUCGUUAACGGGAACAAGGUACGUAUCAUUGUAGGUAGGACUUUACAUGGAUCGCGAUCAUCAAACUGUGAUUAAGUGAUGAUUAAAAGUUAACAAUUUAUUAAGGCAGCUAAGUUAGGCAAAGACAUUCUCAACCGAUCCACUAACAAAAGAAGACGACAAUUGGAAUACCGGUGAUGCGGUAUUAUUUGAAGAACAUGCUAUUUGGAGUAAUGUGCUUGAUACUAGUGGCUUUGCUUGCCUCAUGUAUAACAUGAAUGUGUUUGUGUUUGUUAUACUUUUGCAGUUGUAGAAAAUAAAUGACAAAAUAGAGGAGUCAUAAAGGAGAUUAAAAGAAAACAAGAAGCCGAAAGCGUAGUAAUUUGUAUAGGCCAAGUGGAGACUGUUAUAGUGUUACUACGUCACUCAGUUGGCCUUUUGAUCUCAUAUAAUACGGCUACUUUAUCAACAAGAACAACCAGGGAUGACGACGCAGAAAGCAGGUGUUGCGAGAGCUUGAAGAACAAACUAAUCUGAUCAGUCGAUCUGUAUCUGUUAUGCAUGUCUUUGAAAUAUAGAUGAGCAAAGUAAGCUCUCAAUUCAUCGGCAGUGAUUCAAAGUUAUAACCCCGGAGCAGAGGAACACCCAGGUACACAAAAAACAGCCAUGUACACAAAAUUGAUAGUGUUGGAAUUAUGCACCAAAUGCUCUGGACUGAACUUUCGCUUUGCUUUUCUAGCAAUCAUUCAUGAGCAGUCCACAUACAUUUCACCACCACCGUCCCCAAUCUAAUAUUUCCAACAUUAUCCAGUUCACCCAUUCCAUCAGAUCACGACACGACCAGACCAGCACAUUGUAACCAAAAUCAAACUGUGGAUUCAUACGAGUUUGUACAGACUAAACUACUACUUUCCUUUUACCUCUUUUUUCAAUUUUGAUGAUAUAUUACAAGAUCGAUAAUAAUUAAUUCUGGGGAUAGCAAGCUCAUGCAUUUCUAAAAUUCUAGGAAAUAAACAUACUGGACUGCUUCAGUAACAUACUGAAGAGGAAACCGUUAUUUUCAAUAAAAUUCAGGCUCCAACUUGUAAUCUGAAUGCAGUUAAACCGUUUAAUAUCAUCAACAAAAUUGUGUUCAUCAGUAGAAAUGCUUUUUGCCAUCUCUCAACAAAGAAACCCCCGAGCAGUGUGACAAAUUCAACCCACUGAUCAGAAAUCAUUUCCUGUUCCUCGGAUAGCCCCGUCCCUGAUCAUAUUCUGGUCCUCUUGGAGCCUCGUAUCCGGGCCCUACUUGAGCUUCAUGAACAGGUCCUUUCUGUGCAUCGUAACUAGAUCCUCUCUGCAUCUCGUACCCAGCUCCCCUCUGGGAAUCAUACGCAGCUCCAACAGGCCCUCUUUGCAUGUCAUAACCAGAUCCACCUACUCCUUUUUGUGAAUCAUACCCGGGUACACCAUGGGCUCUUUGCAUAUCAUAACCAUGUGCACUAAGUCCUCUCUGCGGAUCAUAGUUAGGUCCACCAUAUCCUCUGUGUGCAUCGUAGCCUGGAACUACUGGUCCUCGCUGACUGUCAUAACCUAGACUUCCUGUACCCCUCUGUGCAUCGUAACCUGAAAGUGCUGGUCCUCUCUGAGUAUCAUAACUUGGACCUCCUGUACCUCUCUGCCCAUCGUAGUUGGAACCCCUUUGUGCAUCAAUAUUGGGCCUGACAGGAGCUACUCCAGAUUUGUCACCAGCAUUUGGAGUACCCCCACCAGCAGCGGCAGGUGCAACGGGUGUAGUUGUAGCAGGAAGAGAUGAAGUAGGUGCUGAUCCCGCAGGUCCAGCAGCUCCACCACUGCUCCCACCAGGAAGAGGGCCAUGUCCCUGAAAUAUGUUAUCCAAUUGUGACAUCAGUGUAACAGUGGAGUUUUAUGUAACAAUAUGGAGAGAGUACUGUAAGGAAUUUUUUAAUUACUAAAAUAAAAAACUCACUUGUGGCUCAACCUGGCCAUUAUUACACACAAACAACACAUAAAUUUCUUAAAUUAUUGCUGUUAAGUAUCACAUUAAACACAUUUCUCUUGAACAUCUUCAAGUGAAUGUAAACAUGAAGUCAUUGAGGGAAGGAGCAGAACUACUAGUUUCAGCUGCUUAGUAGCAUUUACUUACCCUUGUGUUCUUUCGUUUUCAAAUUCUUUUACUAUCUGCAAUUAUCUUCAUUUUUUCCUUCGACACGACCUAAUAACACUGCAACUACUUAUAUCUAAUUUACUAUAACAUGAGAAUAAAUUUAGCAGCUCCGAUAUAUUUGGAGGCAUAGAGGAUGAAAUUUGCAUUUUCAUUAUUCACCAAACUUCGUGUACAACAAAGAGAUCCGCCUUUACGUUUGUAUGGUAAUAGUGUAAACAUUCAUAUACGAGCUUCUCAUGUAUUUGACCAGAUGCAAGUAUAUCCAAUGUAAAAGAUAAUACUUGUAUGGGCUAUAGUUACAACCACCAAAUUGGUAACUUCAAGAAAAAGGUUGAACUUUCACUACUCAAAAAGAUAACAUGACAUGUUAAAACCACUGCUUUUAUUUAUUUUUCUUUAUUCUUAAGUUAACCAUUCUCCGUAUAAGGUAAUAAUAAUCUUAUAUCAACAAAAGGCUAGAACUUAACCAUCUUAUAGAGUUUUUAAUUAAUGUUCUGUAACAUCCACAUGUAUCCCAAAGUUUGACAAGUGGUGGAAUACAUGUGUCCAUAUUAGCUUCAUCUUUUUUUGCCAGUUGGUCAUGGAGCUGUUAAUAUUUGAGCCUAUAGACAGAUUAGCAAAUUUCUAGUUCACUAAAUCAGUACAUCAACAUUUGUUCCACACACUGAAGUCGGCUUAGUGUAGCUAAUACAACAAAUUACAUUGAUUGCAAAUUAAGCAGAUAGGAUAGGACUAAAGCAUAACCUAUUCCUCCAACUGCUAAUAAUUUAUUGCAGAACCCAACACUUACUUUGGAGGAUGAGCUCUUUUCAUCAAAUAGCUAAUUUAAAUGACAAAGACCUUAGACUCACCAACAGCAAAAAUACAUAAUUACCUGAUGCAGGCCGUAGCCAUCGGUAUAAACAUUCUGUCCGACAGGAAAAUGCCCAGUUACCUCAUCGCCAUAUCCAGUACCACCAUAAGGAAUACCUGUCAUGUGAUAUUCAGAAACCUUGGAACAUGAUAUCAGAAAUUACUGCAGGAAAGCAGACUAAAACUAUAAAAUGGCAAAAAAUAUUAUGAUAUAUGCAGCGUACCAGUUCUCCUGUCAGUAUUUGCAGAAUUAGUUAAUUCUGCAUGAAGCUUUUCCACCUCUCUGGCCAUGUUUACAUAGUUCUUCUCCAUCACCUGAAGAGAUUCGAGGUGGUCAUUGUACACUUUCUUCUCAUAGUCAUAAGUAGCCCUGCAUGGUCAAAACAUGCAAUCAAAACAUGCUACAUUUCUGUUGGACUUCAACAUUAUAUAACAAUAUUACAUAGAUUCCCGGAAGUAGAAAAACACAUUUCUAACACUAAGUGGUGCAUUUAAAGACGGUCAAAGAAAAAUAUAUCAGAAUUUCAUUCCAGACUCCCAAGUAAUCAAUCGUGACCUUUUCUUCUCACCAAAAAGAGAAACCAGGGGACUGGGGCCGGAAGAGGGGGGGGGUUAUCUAACUAGAUAAAUUCCAUAUAUAUAAGAGCAAGCAAAAUCCAAAAUCUGGAGUUCUUCUCUUAAAACAAUGUCUAAAUUCCCAAAAUCAAAUCAAUUAACUCAAAACAAGGGAGAGUUAAUUCAUUUCGCUUUGCCAAUAAUAUUAUUUCUCCUCAACCAAACUCAGCAUAACAAAGUUUCAUGAAAUAUUAGAUCAUGAACACUCUUUUUAUGGUCAUUGUAAUGAACCUACAAAAGUACCUGCAAUGCUGAUAUUCAUGUCGAAGGUUCUCCAGUUCGGACAGCAGACUUGGAAACUGCUGCAUAUCUGCAUGAGCUUUCUGAAGAUCCUGUGUCAUAUCCUGCACUUUAGAUAGAAGUUCCUGCCUUGCUCCAAACAAUUCCUGAGCUUCUGCUCGUGCUUUCUGCAGCUCCACUUUGAGGGGCUCAGCUGAUUUGAGGUCAGCCUCCAUUCUUGCAAUUCUGUCCUUAAGGCUCCUUGCCUGAUGUUCACUAUCAGAUUCUACAGCUCCCAUGUGAGAACGCAGCAUCUGCAGCUCAUGCUGGGCAGCAGCAAGUUCAUGCCUCAAGCUUCCAUGGGUGGCAGCAAGUUUUUGAUUUUCAGUUGCAAGCUUCUGCAUAUCAAUAUGCUGUGCAGCAAGUUUCUGUUCCAUGACCUCCGGAGGAGGUAGCAUAUCAAAAGGAGGGUAAGCACCACGUGGAGGUAGUGGCCCUGGAGCAAACGUGUCAGCAUGCUCUAUAACAGACCCGGGAAGAGGACGGCGUAAUUGUUGAGGAGGAAUUCGACCUUUGCUUCCCAUAUCCGGUUUCCUAUCUAACUUUAUAUCAACAUCAGUAGAUAAAAUCAGUUUAACAGAAAGAUACUAAAAUAAAGGAACUAUUAUCAAAAAUGUCAGGAACUUUGGUACAGCCAGACCAAUACCAUCAUAACAACAAGACAUUUGAAACAACAAAGACUGAGAAGUUGAAAAUUUCAUUACAAAUCUUAUAAACUUCACGAUAAAGGUGAUGCCAUCAAUGCAACUGCACCAGAGAUCCUAUCGAUCUACAUUUCAUUCCCAGAUGACUUCCCAUCUGUAAGCUGUGCGACCAGCAUUACGAAACACAAACUAAAGCGAAAAAGUCUAUUUUACAUUGUUACAUAAAUUCAAUAUAGUAAGAAGUUGCUUAUCAAGAAAAUUUAUCGAAUCAGCCAAAUCUUACCACGACUAUCAUUCUGCACACCAAAAUAAAAAACUUUAAUACUAUCAACAUCUUACAACCAUAUCUCAGCCAAAUUUCCGGGACAACACAACCAAAACCCAUUUCCAAAACGAUGCCAUAUUAAUUCGUGUAUCGAAACAGUACAAUUCAAAACAUAACCUCAUUAUUGAAAAAUAUAGAACCCUAAUUAAAGUCCUUUAAUGAGUAAAGCUUCAGUACUAACAUAAUCCUUCAAUUAAAAUCUCCAUAGAAUCGACGAAUGCUUUAAAAUGAUUCCUAAAUUGUUAAUGAUUCAGUUUAAUAAAGCAAACGAUUAUAUACAGGUAAAAUGUACGUAUAACUUGUAUGUAACUAUUAUAGAUAUCGAUUAAGGGGAUACGAUUAUAGAGAAUUACCUGAACAGAAUUGGGGGAAUUAAUUGGAUUGGAAAGAUCAAAAUCGCAGGCAAAACUAUAAACCCUAACACUAAACAGGAAGCAGAUAGAGCGAAGAAAAUAAUGAUACCCGAAUAGUGUUAUGCCCAACCGACGUCGUUUGAAAGAAUAAUUUAGAACUAACUAAUAAAACUAACUAAAAUAUGGUCACGCUAUAAAAUCUGUUCAUAAAUUUAGAACUAUACGCCUUUUAAAUUUAGAACUAUAAUUUUUACAAAACAAAAAUCUUAUAUCUUAUAUCUUAUAUUUAUAUAAAGGAGGAUCCUCAAAGGCUGACCUGGCAUGCUUGAAAAUCUUUCCUUUCAAUUUUCUCAUUUCCUAAUUUUUUCACAUUUUAAUAAUUAAAAAUUUACUUUUAAAGUUGAGAAAUACAAAGGACGGAUGAAAAGGCAAUUUAUGUACAUCUUUUGUAUCUUCAGCUUCCCUUCUACAGGCGCCUUAAUAUUUCCCUUUCAACCGAUGAUUUAUUACAAAUUCAUCACACAGAAGAACCCGUGGUUGAAGAAUACAGUAUAGCUGUUUAGUAUUCUUCCUAAUUUGUUUGCAUCUUUUUCCUUGCAGGUGUAGAAGUUGGGCUCAUGUGUAUAAUCUAUAAUAAUUGGCUUUAGUAUAUUUAUCAAGAAAAUUCCAACGGCGUCCCCGGUCCCAGAUUUUUUUCCCUGAUUAUUUUGGUCAAAUAUGUUUAUUAUUAUUGUUAGGGGUUUGAUUAUCUUUUGUGUUUGCUUUAUCAUAUGAUUUGGCAGUGUGUGAAACUUAGCUUUUUUGAUCUUGAUGUUAGAGGCUUUUGUUUAUAUUGAUCGAACUGAUUGAUUUGCUUUGUGAUUGGUUGAAUUUUUAGCUGAUGGGUGGUUAGGGAUUUGAUUUAUUUUUAGUUAACUUUCGAGUAUUCUAUGUCAGCGACCUACUCGAUGGACCUGGUAUGAGGUCGCCUAACAGUCCAGGCAUACUUUACAGUUGCUUGCUCAAUAUUAAUAUUGUUCAAAUUUAGGUUGGCGCUGGCCAAAGGUCUGUGCCAAAUCAGGUAUGCUCUAGGAUGGAGCAAGGAGUUCAAGUUUUGUGCUUGCUUUUGCAGUCAAGGAGCUCUCCAAGCCAGUAUAGAGGAAUUGCUCAUGCUCUUGCUACAGUGCUUCGUGAAGAAGGGCCCGUGCAUUGUACAAAGGAUGGCUUCCUUCUGUCAUUGGAGUUGUAAGUAUUAAAUAAUCUGGAUUGUUUGUUGUACUAUUUUAUUUAGAUUGUGUGAACUUCUGACAGUGCAUUUUAGUUUAUGCUUUAAGUACUUUCAUUGUUAAUGUCUCUGCUUAGAAUCGCCAUAUCUAGACUCUUUGUGCUAAAGAAUUAGCGAUAUGCUCGGACGUUUGUGGCUCGAUCUAAUGUUGUUGAGCUACUCGAUCUCGGCCAUUAUGAAUACACUCCUGUUUCUAAACUACAGCUAGCUAGAUCACCCGGUAAAGUCAUUGUAUAUCAAAAUAAUAUAAAUAGCAAAACAUGGUAGCAUUAGAAAAGCAGAUUAUGAAUUUAUUUAUAUCUUUGAUUGCGACAUUAGUGUAUCAGGUUGUUUUAAUGAUCUUUGGUAUUUGACCAUGCACAAUUGAUUAAUGUGGGUCGUAAGCAAGAUACUUUGCAGUCUCUUCACGAUCUUAUUACUUCAAAAAGGCACAGGGCAUGGCAGAAGACACAUGAGAAGAUUAUUUGUGUGUGUGUUUUCGUUGGUUCUUGAUGUUAAAGUUUGAAUCUUUUUGACGAUUUGAAAUUGGGUCUGUUGAUGUUUUUGUAAAGGGGUAUUCCACUGAUCAGGUGAAGCAAUUGUUCAAGAGGCUUGCUGUGCAACCAUUGGUUAUUGAAUUGGAUCAACCGGGUGAUUUGCAUUUUUGUUCUUUUUAUCUGUUUUCCUUGGUCUAUGGAAAUUGACAUCUCAGCUUAGGAGUAACAAUGUAUAAGACAACCCAAUUUAACUGAGAUAAAAUCCUAUGACAAUAUGACAUUCACCCGAUCAAACCGCAUAUGACACAAGAUUACUAUUUAUCAGUUUAUUUUUCUUUUGAACUUGUAUGUGUGUGUGUGACAGGCUGAAAAGGCAACGACGGUCUUGCGAAAAAGAGCCUGGCAUCAGAGAUGAAACAAGAGGAAAGGAAGGAGGCUGAAGAUCAGAAGCAAGAAGCCCAUGAGUGUAGUUCAACAAACAAAAACAAUGUCAAGGAGGCUGCGCAACACAAGCAAGAAAAGGAUGGAGCUGUCUAACAGACCGUGGCAUUAUAUAGUUUCCUUUGUCCUUUGGCUUGUAACAAGGUGGUUGCACAUGUAAUUUGUCUUAGAAUACAAUUAAAGUGAAUAGUUUUGUUCAAUUUUCUUUCUUGCACACUACAACCAGACUAUACGGCCUGUGACUCUUGUGACUUCCUAUCCCAGUUCGACUGGAAUUCGUUCCAAGCCUGAAAUAGGCUUUUGGGAUCCUAAUUUCUAUAUAAACAUGUUCUUGGAAUUUAUAUAUAACUAAUUUGUAGGUUUUGGUUGUUUAUGUUUUUUUUCCUUGCUUCUUUUUAAUUAUUACAAUAAAUUUUUAUGUUGCUGAUUUGGCUUCUAGAUGUUACAAGUUGCCUAAUCACCUUAUUAACUGAUGCAGACUCCACCUUCUUAAUCAAGAUCAUCACCUGAAAGGGACAUAGCUGUUAAUUUCAUUUCUUUUAGUAAAUGUUGAAGGUUAGAGUUUUAACAAAUGUUAUAUUUUCUUAUAUUUCAACAACAAUUACAGAAUAUAAGGAUUCAAAAACUUUAAAUCAUAAAGAUCUUUUAAAAUGUCUUAUAUUUUAAUUUUUCUCACUCGCGCGGAGCGCGUUUUUUUCACUAGUUUAGAACUAUAUUAUUGGGAAGCAUAUCAGAGGCAACUCAAAACAUUCCGAUCAGCUUAGUAUGUAAUGAAUCUAAAAUUUUCUACCUUCACCAAAUUUGGAUAUAUAAAAAUUGGAGUAAAAGAUAAUAAAUGAAAUUUAAGUAUAUAAUCAAAAGUUUAAAUUGUUGUUAAAACAAUUUUACAGUCAGAUUUAUAAAUUGUAAUUUAAAAUAUUUUGUUACUAAUUUAAAAUGUGUUGAAAUUCUUUAACUCCAAUGAUAAAAACUAAUAAAUUCUUUUUUGUAUUUUGUAAUAUAGACAUAUUUUGAGAGCUUAAUGUAAUCCUCGCAACUCAUGAAAACUUUAAAAAAAAAUAUGUUUAAAUUUAAAAAAUCUAUGUCAAUUCUAUUCAAUCUUAUUUCUCCUUUUUCUCCAAAGCACACUUGCAUUAGAAUUUAUCAAAAUCAAGUUUACAAAUGAUGAAUUCUGGAGCAUUAUAAAGCCACUCCAUCAGCUUGACAUAGAAUAUGCGGCUCUUCCUAAUUCAUGAGCUAUCAUAUUCGCAGACCUAAAACGUACGAAACUAACACUUGAUCAGAGUAUUUUAAGAUAGUGAUGCAAUCCUCAACAAUUGCAUGAAAUUAAGUGUUAUCCCGACUUCCAUUAACAGCAUCACAAUAAGCUUAGCAUCAAAUUCAACAAUACAUUUCCUGGUCCUCCAGUUCUUCAUCCAAAUUAUUGUUGAAAUAUCAGUAUAAGAUCCAUAAAGGGACCUCUUCUAACACCUUAGGAUUUUAGAUGGAAUGGUUCUCUACAUAGUAUCAGAGCGAGGUUUGCGGGAGGUCUCGGGUUCGAGCCCCUGCCACCCCCCAAUAUUCUCACAAUUUAAAUGGACAUGAAGGCAAUUUAUACCCCAAAGAUGGGCGCCCGUGAUCCACUCUUCAACCCAAAUAAUGGGAUUUCAAGUGAGAGGGAGUGUUAAAAUAUUAGUAUAAGAUCCAUAAAGGAGCCUCCUCUAACACCUUAAGAUUUUGGAUGGAAUGGUUCUCUACAAUUAGAGCUUCCCUUCCACGGAGUCUCCCCCCUCCCCCCCUCCCCCGAACACUUUAAGAUUUUAGAUGGAAUGAUUCUCUACGAUUAGAGCUUCCCUUGCACGGAGCCCCCUCCCCCAACCCCCCCAAAAAAAGAGCCUACCCCCACAUGAUCAACGCUCUAUAUACAAGCUGCAUCAACAUUUACCUUUAUCUAAUAUACAAGUCGUUUGCACUACAUUCAAAUCACAGGUUGUUGUUAUCCUCUGAUUGUUACUAAUCUUAUCUUAGUUUUGUUAAAUUUCAUAUAAACAAAAUCAAUCACAAUUUAUUAAAUUAAUAAAUUACUAUUAAUUAAAAAUUAUAAACUGACUGAAAAUACUCAAAUUUUAUUACGAAUUUGUUUUAAAAUUUAAUAUGAAUGUUUUACAAUUUGAUAUAAUCCGAUUGGGUCGAUCAUAGUCCAAUAUGAUAAUUUUUCUAUUGAAUAGGUCUCCAACAUCAGAAUUUUAUUAAUAAUAUUAUAAAUCUAAUCAUGUGUGAAUUUUCAGAGGUUAGUAAAGAAAUACUUAUGUGCAUGUCAUGCUUUUGUCCUAUUAAUCGAUUUGUGUCUUUUAAAAAAAUACAUUACUAUGACUUGAUACAUUCUACCAAAAGGAAUUUUCAAGUAAUAACAAUUCACUAACUUUGAAUUUUCAAGUUUUGGUGAAGUUAAACUUGUAGUAUCAGAAAAACAUAAAAUUCUUUAAAUUGUCUAUUUGUUGCUGAAAUUGGUCUUGAUUCAUCCCAUUGCAACGACAAAUUUUGAAAGAAUUUUUCCGAGGAUGACGCAAAUGAAAGUUAAACUACAUAACGACAUGUGAGAUCAAAUAAUGAUUGUUCAAUUACAUAAUAAGAUAGGGAUUUAUUUUUUUAUUAUUAAGAGGAAUGAUAAUGUCAAUUGCUAUCAAAACAUGAAAACUUGUCUGAGUUCAAUUGUAGUAAUUUCAAGUAUUUUUAUAUAUAAAUCAGUUUUUUUUAUUAAUUUGUUGGUAUUAAAUUAAUCAUACAUAAAAUACCGUAGUUGUCACUGAUUGGAGCUCUAUUUAUGUUGGAGGAUAGUAAAAAUAUGUAUUGUUUAUUGUCAUAAGGGCACUUAUAAUUGACAGGUUACAAUGUUGAAAUUGCUCUUAUGAAACUCGUUUGGUGACGAGUUUAGACAUAACAUAAACUAACCUUGUUUGUCUCAACUUAUUUAGCCCAAUUAUGGACUUAUUUGGAGGAUUUUAUAUUUAUAUAUUAUUGUUUAAUAUUAAGUAUUUAAUGGGUGUUAAUAUUUUUUAUUUGCUAAAAAGAGAAAAUUCAAGCACGUAACUUUUUUAGAACUAAAUGAUUUAAACAAGACUCUAGUUUAAUGCGCAGGCUUGGCCAUCUAGUUCAAUGAAAAUAUGACUUAUUUUGGGAGGAAAUUUCUCAUUUAUGUAAUAUUUUUUUCACAUCAAAUAUUUAAUAGGUGCUUAGCAUUUCUUAUUUGCCGAAAUAAAUCACUUAAUACCACGAAAAAGUACAUAUUAAUGUUUUCUUUCACAAUUACACCCUCAAUUUCAAAAUAAUAUUCGCUUUGACUUUGUGCACGUAUUUUGAGGUGCAAAAAAAACAUAUUUCUACAUGUUAUUUUUGAAAUUUUUUUUCUGAAUAAAAAUAGAAAUGUUAAACUUUUUUAUUCAGAAAAAAAAUUUCAAAAAUAAUGUGUAUAAGUAUGUUUUUUUUACAAUACGUGCACAAAGUCAAAGCGACUAUUAUUUUGGAACGGAGGGAGUAAGUUAAAAAUAAGAGAGGCAGAAGUUAGAACUAAACGACCUAGCAAGCUAAGGACAUGAGUUUAGAAAUCGAGAAAUGAAUGAUUAACAAACAAGCCGGAACAAAAAUCACCGCACAGGACAGGAGGGAGAGGGACCAAAGAAUGCAUGCCAUGACGCCGACAUGCAAGACGGACGGUCACAAAUAUAGUUGCAUUUUUAAAUAAAACGACCUUCCCUACUAUAAUUGGCACCAAAUAUUUGGUAAGCUUACUUACUAUUGGAAAAAGAAAUAAUAAACUUUGGUGCCUAGCGAAACCGAGGUGAAUUCCGGAGACGUGAAUACAAGUUGCACUCCUUGAUUCUAUUUUGUUUGUGUUCGACUCCAACUCCAUGCAAGUUGCGAUAAGUAAAUUACAGAAUCACUGCUACAAUGAGUUGUAUCCAGGUCUUCCAACCCGACAAUUCACUAUUACACCCCAUGCCCGAUUGCAAGCCCACUCCACUUUGCUCCUGCUCAAACUUUCAUAUCCUACAAUAUUGGACAAUACAGUCCGCUAAAAGUUGAAUAUUACCCCACUGUUUCAAAAUGUAUGACAUUUUAAUUUUUUGCAUGUAAUUUAAAAUUUUUUGAUCAUGUAUUUAUAUUUAUUAUUUUUAAAAUUUUAUUUUUUUAAAUAAAAGUAUAUAAUCAAAAUUUAAAGUAUAAAUUUUCUUUUUUCAAAAUGAUGAUUUUAGAUAUUUAGUCAAAACACUUUGAAUUGUGUGUAAAAAAUCAAAACGACAAAUAAAAAGAAACGGAAGGAGUACUAUUUUAAUUAUAUGCUUAAUAAGAUAGGCGUCCACUAUAUAUAUUUUAUGUUUACUCCUGCUUAAUAUAUGUAGCUAUCCAUUAUCUUAUAAUAUCUCCAGUCCUGGAUAUAAUUUUUUAUUAUAUCUUUACACAUGAAAUACAUUCUGUAUGGUCUUUUUUUAAUCAGGUGUGGUCUUUAAAAAAAUAUAAAUAAUUGGUGCAUCUUUUCUAUAAUUAGUACUUCCUCUGUGUUAGCUUAAAUUUUCAAUUUUAACAGUUAUAUCAAGGUGUAUUGAUCAUAUAUUUUCAUAAAUUAUCUCUAUCCUGAAAAGAAUUUGUUUGGUAAAAGUAUGAAGCAUCAAAUUAUUAUUUAUAGAAAAGUUUUGAAAAUAAUAUAAAGAAUUAAAUGAAGAAUGCAUCUUAACAUGGAUGUAAAUGGCUCCAUUUUUUCUAAACUAUUCGUUAAUCGAAUAUUUGAACUUGAGUCCAGUUACCUGAAUACUUUACCCGAGUUCAAGUUUCGCAUAAUCCGGACUAGUUGAAUCUCUAUUUAUUUUAAUUAUUUACCUAUAAUUCUGUCUGCCCAUUAAAAAUUUUAUAUUUUCUUUUCCAAAUGUUCAUUUCAAUUUAUUAUAUUUUCAAAAUUCGCUAAAAAUAAUAAAUUUUUAUCAUAUAAAAAUUAAUUAAAUUUAAUACUUUCAUCGAAUAUACUCAUUUUAUAUAUUAGGUAUCAGUCGAUUCCAUCAAUUUACUCAUUUUUUUAUAUUUUAUGUUUUAUUUUACUUAAUUUUCUAAUCUACUUACCCAACCCAAAUGUAAACAUUUUGGAGAGUGUGGCGAAAGAAAAUAAAUUACUAGUACAUGAAUAAAUUUAUAUAUCUAAUUUAAGAGUCAAGUUCUAUCUAGUCCCCCCUUCAUGGAAUCUUAAAGUACACAUAUGUUCUGCAAAUAAAAUACAGUUUAAAACAUUACAAAACAUCUUUUUUUCAUUGAUGUUUGUAAAACAUUACUAUUUUUAUUGAAGAUUCUACGGAUCACACACAUUUUACAAGUUAAACACGGUAAAUAUAUUACUUUAUAAAACAUACUUAGUCUGCCGAACAUAUACAUGUUGUACUUUUAAGUUUAUGAGAUUUGUAAAAUUUUAUUAAAAUAAUGAUAUUUGUGAAACAUAUUUUAGAUAACAUAUUUUACGUAAUUCUUCUCCCCAUAUUUCUUUCUCUCACUCUUUCUCAAAACCCUAACUUCCAUAAGAGAUUUUUGAAGGGCUUUCCAUCGGUUUCCACCGGUGGAAAGUCCGAUUUCUUCUUUUUUCUACUUUCUUGUUUUGAAAGCUUAUUUUUCAUUCAAUAAGUUCUCAAUUUAUUUGGGUUUUGUUAGUCUCUCCUUCUUGUGAGAGUUGGUUUGUUUUGUUUUGGUAUGUUUUGAUAUUCUCCAUGAUCGAGGUUAUAGAUCGGCAUGAUUUUUAUAGGUUUGAUUCAGGUUUGAAGGUUAUUAUGGGAUCGCAUCUAUGGUCGAUUGUUCAGAACAUUCAGGUGAAAACCAAUCAGAUGGAAACAAGUGUGUAUAUUCAAAUUAUCUUCAAAUCGCUUACUUGCCUCUCCAAGAAGGAAGGAUUCAACAACGAUAUUCUUCGGCGUCUGUCCAAUUUCGAUUGUAUUUGUAGAUACCGUAUGGUUUUUAAUUAAUGAAUUGAUUCCUUUUUAUAUAUAAAAAAAAAAAAGAUAACAUAUUUUACAUGAUAUUUUAUUUGUAAAAUAUAAGUGGAUUAUAGAACCUCACUCCUUGAGAUUAGGACACCCGUCUAAGGCGUGUUUAUUUAUACGGAGUGUCUAACCUGUGCCCUGAGGGCACAGGAUAAGUCAUAUUAAUGUGACUAACAACUCUCUGAUAUGCAUAGUUUUCAGUGUAAACAUUUAAAAUUUUAUUAAAUAUUAACUAUACAUCUACUUUUGAUGUAUCUUUCAAAUUUUAAAUUUAUUAAUAAAAUAUUAUUUUAUUUAAAAAAAUGUGAGAAUAUAGAUUUAUUAUUUUUGUCAUAUUUUAUAUGAAUUUUUUUAAUUAAUUUCAUUCCACAAAUAAUAUUGAGGCCCCCCUGCAUAUACACUAAUUUUUUAAUUAAAAUUAAUCUUCCAACUAAAAUCAGCCAAUUUUAUAUUUAAUAGUAAAUUUAUCACUUUUUAUUAUUUUAACAAUAUUAAAAAAAAUAAUUGACUAGAAUUAUAAUAGAAUAUAAAUAAAUAAUAUAUCGAAUUUAAUUGGUAAGUUAAUAAGCAUUUGAAUUUUCUAGUUAGUAGUUAAUGCAUUGUUGUGUUGUAUUUCACGAUCUACAGAAAACUAGAAAACUAGGGUUAAUAAAUGUUCUAAACCGGGCACAGGUUAGACAAGCCCUUAUUUAUAUGACCUUACUCGCAAAUUAAAUGAUUAUUUAACAGUUUAACUGUUUCAUUAUUGAUGCAUUCACUCGAUGAAACACCUUCUUACCGUUGUUUUGCUAGUACUCACAUCCACGUCAGAAGGAGAAUCUGCUUAAAUAGGAAUCUUGAGAUUCUCUUGUGAAUUGUACUCUACUACGGAGUAGUACAUCGUUUUCACUUUUCAGUCACGCUUCCUGUCUACAGCUCAUCAUCACUUAUCACGGGCUUAAUGCAAUAAAAUAAUAAUUAAACAUGACUCGAAAGUUAUAUUUAUGACUCAGCCAUGCGUUCGCAUACACACAUCAAGAUUCAAGAGAUCAACUGCACCCAACCUCCCAUCUCAUCUGGUUACCAAAUUUUACGGCAGAGGAUACAUAUCAUUGUUUGGUCUAUCAAUUGUCUCAUUUUUUAUCUUAUCUUAGAUUUUGAAUUGUAGCCGUCUAAUUAUGGACCUAGCGUAAUUGGAAAUUCUAAUAUCAUUAUUUAAAAGAUAAUACUACGUAUUCCAAAUUUUUUUAUCAAAUAAUGUGGCAUACAAAUGGAAAAUUAGAACUCUCAUUAUUAUUGGAGUAAAUACAGUCAAUUAGACUUUAUCGUUAUUUAAGAAAAAAAAUUGAGAUUUUUUUUUGGUUAACUAGCAUUUUCCUUAUUUAGAAUACGUAGAAAAGGAAUUAUCCAUACGAAACGCGCCGUAUGAAUAUUUUAAACUACUAAAAUAAAUGCACAUGAUUUAUACAAUUAUCAUAAGAAACUUGCUUAAUAUAGUAGAUUACUUAGCAAGCAUAAAGUCGAAAGCGAAGCAACUUGCGUAAUUCACCAUAAAAUAGUGGCGACAAUUAAAAUAGGAAAAUUUAGAAAAGGCUAAUAUUUUAAAUUAUUUUUAAAUAUAUGAUCAAGAUUGCGCACGAGGUUUACUGUUUACAUCUGCUUGAAAGCCGUUGCUUUUCGGAUUAAGAAUUGUAAUUGAAAAUAAAAAUUGAAUUGGAAUUUUUAGGAAAAAAAAACCCGUUUAUUAGAGGCACCCCUCAUCCCGUACCACUCGAUUCGAUUUUUGUUCAUGUAAGGUCGAGAAAUCCUUUUUCGGGCUUGGUACUGAAAUCAGAAUUUUUUUUAAAUUAAAAUAUGGGAUAUAUUCGAGAAUACGAAUACGACCAUUCUGAGGUUCAUGCUCAUCCACAAGUUACAUUUUUUUUUUUUUUUUUUUUUUUGGNNNNNNNNNNNNNNNNNNNNNNNNNNNNNNNNNNNNNNNNNNNNNNNNNNNNNNNNNNNNNNNNNUUUUUUUUUUUUUUUUUGUCAGGCAUCCACAAGUUACAUUUAAAUCAAUAGUUACUCGAUUAAACCUGUGAUUACUUUUUAUGGUAAUACUAAGCUAUUUAAUGAAUAAUCGAAAUACUUUAUGAUUCGAAUGAAGACAAGACCAAAUUGAGGAACGGGUUAUGAGGUGUGAGAUACGACAGGGUUGUUUGAAUCUCCUAAACGUUUGGAUAUGUACCCAUUUCUGACAAUCCUACACAGACUUACGUUGGCAAUCUAGCUCCUCCACAUUUUACCAACCGACUUUCCUUAAUUUUAACUCCCUAAACAACACAUAAACGGAAUGAAAACUUUAAAUAAAUAAAAAACAAUUCCAGUCAAUUGCAAGCUGUACACAAGUAAAUUCUGUGCCUAUAUAUAACUCACCUAGCCUCACAGGAGAAUCAGAUCAAGAAAAGCUAAAAUAUAUUCACACAUAUUUUUAUUAGCAAAAACUAUUCCUUCAUAAUAUACAUAGUAUAUGGCCAUCCGAGGUGCUUCUUCCAUUUCAACAACCUCAAAGCUUCUUCUUCAAAACUACAGAUUACUCAAGCCUCUCACCACUCUCACCUCCACCACCACUCCUCCCUCCACCAUCAUCUCACCGCAAACCUUCUCCGAAAAGCCCGCACCGACUUAUGACGCUUCUGGUUUUGGUUCGGGUUCGGGGUCAGGUUCAGGUUCACGGCUAACGUUCGAAAAUGGUCAGGAUCUUUUCGCGUCAGUUCCGACCGCAAAAUUGUUGAAGUCAACUCUGACUCUCAAAAUGGCGGCUGUGGAGCCUGUGGUGGAUUUAGGCACGUGGGUUAUUAAUUCCAAGUUGAUGAACGUGCGGGUGUUUAAGGAUUUGGUCAUGGGGUUUACCAAGCGUACAUUUUAUGAUCAUUUUGUCGCGGGGCGUAAUGUGGAUGAGGCUGGGGAGACUGUUAAGAUGUUGUGGGAUGAUGGGUUUCGAGGCAUGUUGGAUUAUGGUUUGGAACAUGUCGAUGAUAAUGAAUCUUGUGAUCGAAAUUCGGAUGCUUUUAUCAAGACGGCUGAUUCAACCAAGUCACUUCCUGCUACUUCUGUAAGCUUUUCUUGCUUAGAUUCCUUAAAUUCCUCUGUUCAUACAUACAUUAAUGUGCCUGUUUGGCGAAGCCGGCAUUCAGCUUUUUUCGAUAAGAAGCCGGCUUCCAAAUUUCUUGACCCGUUUGUAUAAAAAAACAUAAGCACUUAUAAAAAGCAGCUGAGAAUGCUAGUUUUUAUUUCAGGACUUCUGCUUCUUUCUCAAACAGUUUAAUUACUUAUAAGUGUUAGUUUACUUCUCAUUUCUGAUUCACUUAUUUACUUUAAGCAAGAAAUACUUUUUUAAGUUUAUCCAAGCGGCCCCAUUAUAUCUUUCUUCAUACUCAUACACGUAAAAUCUGCGUACAUCUUAUAAUCCUAAAGUUAAUUUUAUGUUUAUCAGAUGUGAAAUGAGUGUAAUACAGAGGAUGUAUGUAGCUUGGUUUGUGUAUACAGGAACCUUCAGAAUAGUUUCCAGGAAGUUAUUAGCUCGGUAUGACUUGGUUUCAUCUAGAUUACUAGAUAAUAGUUGACCGAACCAAGAUCAUAUCAAUACGUAAUAGUUUGACCACAUGAGAUGUAAGCUAGUACUAAGCUUAGUAUGCAAGAUGCAUCAUAUGUUUGACAAUUCAAUUAUUAGUGUAGAUCUUAUCAUAUGAGUAAAAGUCAAAAUUAAGUUAUAAAUUUGGAGUUACUCAAGGUCCUUCAAGUAUUUAUUUCUAAAUGACUAGAGAUAGUUCUUAUUCUAUUCUAUGUUAGAUGAUUUGAUUAGUAAAUAUCUAGUUUGAAUGAUUAAAUAUAAGUUAAAAAGGCUAAUCUGUUUUUAUCUUCUUAACUUUUUGUUACAGGUGAGUUCUGUUGUGGUGAAGAUCACAGCAAUUUGUCCAGUGAGUAUACUAAAGCGAGUUAGUGAUUUACUCAGAUGGGAAUACAAAACAAAGUCAAUCAAUCUUCCUUGGAAACAAAGCACUCUUCCAAUUUUCUCAGAAUCAAGCCCUUUGUAUCACACUCUCACAAGGCCAGAGCCAUUGACUCCACAAGAAGAACAAGAUUUCCAGCUAGCUCAGCAAAGACUCAAAAAUAUAAUUGACAAAUGUCUGGAAUCAAAUGUUCAGUUAGUGAUCGAUGCGGAGGACACGCAGAUUCAACCUGCCAUUGAUUACUUCACGCAUUCUGCUGCGGUCUUGUACAAUAAAGGCGACAAGCCACUCAUUUUUGGAACAAUUCAAGCUUAUUUGAAAGAUGCUAAAGAGAGGCUAGUAUUGGUGAAGGCUGCUGCAGACAGAAUGGGGGUGCCUUUGGGUGUGAAGUUAGUUAGAGGAGCCUAUAUGUCCAGCGAAGCACGAGUAGCUGCUUCUUUAGGCCACGAGUCUCCUAUUCAUGAUGGAAUCAAGCAGACACAUGAUUGUUAUAAUGAUUGUGCUUCUUUUAUGCUCGACGAAGUUGCUAAUGGCCCUGGUGCCCUUGUUCUUGCAACUCACAAUUUCGAAUCAGGUAAUUUUAUGGUUUUUUCGUCAUUCUAAUUCUGAUGUUUUGCGCAAAUGUAUGAUAUCUGUGACCAAUGUUUGACAUGCUAAUUGUGAUUCAUUGCAGGGAGACUAGCGGCUAUGAAGGCACAAGAGCUAGGGAUCGGAAAGGGAAACCAGAAGGUUCAAUUUGCACAGCUGUAUGGAAUGGCAGAUGCAUUGAGUUAUGGUUUAAAAAAUGCAGGGCUUGAGGUGAGCAAGUAUUUGCCCUUCGGACCUGUGGACCAGAUCAUGCCUUACCUGUUGCGAAGAGCUGAAGAGAACAAAGGAAUGUUGUCUACAUCAGCCAUUGACAGACAACUGAUGAGGUAUAUAGGGAGGAUUAACUUUGAAAAUAAAUACUACCUUAUAAUUUAUGCAUUUCGGUAUCAUGAUUUACGUAUUAAUUUAUCUGGUUACUUCUGAAUGCAGUAUGGAGCUCAAAAGGAGACUCACAGCUGCAGUUCUGUGAGGAACAAGUGCUGGAUCAAGAGGAAAAAGAAUCCGACUUUGAGUUUUCUGUUAAAUUGCACCCAUGUAUUAAUAUUCUGCACCAUGAGGACAGUGCAAAUCUUUUAGGCUAGAUGGUUUCGAACUGAAGCAAAAGAUUUACAGCUACAUGUUAUCUUGUAUAGUUGCUUUUGGUCCUUGUGGUGUAAGGAGCAAAGAAGGGUGUAAUUUGAUCCGAGCAAUAAUGUAAUUAUAAAUAUUAUCUAAUUUUUGGUUUCUGUAAAUUAUUUCAUUCUUGUCUGAUAUCUCAUUUUAAUGUGAAAUCUCAUUACUUCAUAAAUUAAGAAGACAGAUUGAUAUCAUGUGUCACCGUAUCAGUGUGUACAAGAUAAUAUAUCAUAUCUGCAACCAUGUUCAGAAUUAUGAGUGUCAUAAUAUAAAAUAGCGGUAGUUCAUGAGUCAUAUUAAGCAAGUCUGCAGCAUGCAGGGUUAUCCUCUGCUUCUUGUCGACCAAUGGUAGAACAUUAUCUCCAGAGAGACAUUAACACAAUUAUAGCUAUACAAGUAUAUGUUUAGAAUGAACAUGUAUGGGAAACAACUGAGAAAUAUAACUACUGAACUCCCUUUCCAAGCUGAUUGAUACUAUAUGUUAUCCGGACUCGUUUAAAAGCGUCCCAGUGUGAGCACGGUUGGAUAGCUCAAUGGUUAAGAGCUUAUCCUCUGUCGUCCCAGGUCCUGGGUUCGACCCUGGCUCACCUCGAGAAUAUCUUAGAACAGAUACUCAUUUGUAAGGCUAUAAGCCAUAUUUGUCAAAAAAAGCGUCCCAGUGUCGGACUGAGCAAUAUUUUGAAAUUUUUACAUGUUUUUGACCUAAAAAUAGGUGUUGGAGUUUCCGUACUCAUGAGUGUCGAGUAUUCGACACGGAUACCCGAUGCAAAAUGAAGAGUUGGGGUAAGUAGCUGAUACUGUAUAUACAUACUUUCAAAAACUUUCUUACUUUGUGUGAAUAUGUGAUUCUCUGCAAAUGAAGUAAUGAAAGUCACGUGUGAUAAAGCUACUUCUUAGUUGCUAGAAUCUGGCAAAACACGUUCACCGGCUUUUAAUAGUAAAUGGUCCAAGCUAACCAGAGAAAGACUUUAUCUCAACUGCUAUCAGGUAGUUGGAUUUAGAAGGAAACGCACACGAGUUAAUUUCGAAUUCAUUACUAAAUAUAUACAUUAGUUUUGAACCAAAAAUAGAAGAAGGUGCUCUACGUAAGAAAUGCUCUACUGGAAUAGCAAGAUCACAUUAUUUCUCCUUUGUAUCAGAUGAGCUGUUUGUUUUGUGGACGUGAAUCAGGUCCAGACAAUUCAUAGCAGCGCGGAAAUAAACCAAACAUACCCAGUAUAUAGCAGCACGGAAAUGUAUAUGUUAAAUAAUUUACAUCACUGAGACUCAUGUCUAACAUAUGUUUGGGAGAUCACAUGUGAAUAUUGUGUUUGUGUUUAGUUGAGAUGAAAGAGAAGGCAUGAGCCACAAUAAAAGAAAAUAAGAUUUCGAUAGAUAGGAAUGUAACGGUGAAAUGAAAUUAUUAAAUAUUUAUUUAAAUUAUAAUUCAAAUUUUAUUACAUUCUCUACCUUUUAUCCCAACCAAAUAUAACAUUAGUAUAAUAUAAUUGCAAUUACUGUCGCAUGAUGGCAUCCUGUAUUACACCCAUCUCUAUUGAGAAAUGCUAAGUCAUAUAAAUGAAUACAGAAUUGUGUACAGAGCUAGCAGUUGAUGUGUAAAACUUGUCGGACACUAACUUAAUCUUUUCAUGAACAGCAUGUGUGAUGUGUAAAGUUUGUCUGCCACUAAAGUAAACUCCCCUUUUAUUUCAUUUUUGUUUCUCUGUUAUUUAUUUAUAUGGACCUCACUUUUCUCAAUUUUUAAAAUUUAUUUAAUCAAUAAUUUCUCUUAUUUUUUUAACUAUUAUUAUUAAUUAUUUAAUCUUACUCAUAUUAUUUUUUAAUAUCCAUUAAAUGUCUACUCUCUCACUUUAUUUGUUCUUAAUUUUUCUUAAAACUUACUUUUUAUAUUUAUUUUGUUAUAAAAAAUUGAAAUUCGAUUUAUUUUAUUUUACUUAGUUUACGUUAUAUUUAGAUGUAAAGAGUCACUUAAAUUUACAAAAUAAAAAAUCUUGUGUAAAAUGAAUUGUACUCGUGUUAAAAAUAAUUUUAAACUUUCAUAGCAAAUGAUGUUAGAGUACUUUUUAUGUUAAUCAUGUUUCAAAAAAAUAUUAUGCGCACUAAAAAAUUAAUUUUAUGUGUUUCCUAAAUAAUUUUUGUGACAAAAAAUAUUUUUAAUUUUUGCCGCAAACAUUAUUUUGGAAACACAUAAAUUAUAAAUAUUCUUUUGCCGUGGACAUUAUUUAGGAAACACAUAAAAUUAUUGUUUUAGCAUUCAUAAUUUUUUUUAAACAUGUUUAACAUAAAA